CUACGGGUUGCUCCAGUGGGGAAUAUUGCGCAAUGGGCGAAAGCCUGACGCAGCGACGCCGCGUGGGUGAUGAAGGCCUUCGGGUCGUAAAGCCUUGUGGGAGAGGGACGAACAACCCAGGGGAAUAAUACCCCCUGGGCCUGACGGUACCUCUUCAGAAAGCACCGGCUAACUCCGUGCCAGCAGCCGCGGUAAUACGGGGGGUGCUAACGUUGUUCGGAAUUACUGGGCGUAAAGCGCGUGUAGGCGGCCCGGCAAGUCAGAUGUGAAAGCCCUCGGCUCAACCGAGGAAGUGCAUUUGAAACUGCUGGGAUAGAGUACGGGAGAGGGUUGUAGAAUUCCCGGUGUAGAGGUGAAAUUCGUAGAUAUCGGGAGGAAUACCGGUGGCGAAGGCGGCAACCUGGACCGAUACUGACGCUGAGACGCGAAAGCGUGGGGAGCAAACAGGAUUAGAUACCCCAGUAGUC
rnacentral:rRNA from 1 species